rfam:Tupaia chinensis contig112476, whole genome shotgun sequence.
GGGCUCGCUUCAGCAGCACAUAUACUAAAAUUGGAACGAUACAGAGAAGAUUAGCGGGGCCCCUGCACAAGGAUGAAACGCAAAUUGCUGAAGCGUUCCAUAUUUUU